GAUGAACGCUGGCGGCGUGUCUAAUACAUGCAAGUCGAGCGAACAGACGAGGAGCUUGCUCCUCUGACGUUAGCGGCGGGCGGGUGAGUAACACGUGGAUAACCUACCUAUAAGACUGGGAUAACUUCGGGAAACCGGAGCUAAUACCGGAUAAUAUAUUGAACCGCAUGGUUCCAUAGUGAAAGACGGUUUUGCUGUCACUUAUAGAUGGAUCCGCGCCGCAUUAGCUAGUUGGUAAGGUAACGGCUUACCAAGGCGACGAUGCGUAGCCGACCUGAGAGGCUGACCGGCCACACUGGAACUGAGACACGGUCCAGACUCCUACGGGAGGCAGCAGUGGGGAAUCUUCCUCAAUGGGCGAAAGCCUGACGGAGCACUGCCGCGUGAGUGAUGAAGGUCUUCGGUUCGUAAAACCCUGUUAUUAGGAAAGAACAAAUGUGUAGUGAUCUAGGCGCGUCUUGACGGUACCUAAUGAAAAAGCCGCGGCUAACUACGUG
rnacentral:rRNA from 1 species